rnacentral:lncRNA from 1 species
UUGUGGGUCCCCCCUUUUGAGGCUGUUCUUCCGAAGGUUUCUCCUUUUCAGUAAUGAGUCGGAUAGCCUCUGCUAUCGCCUGAACUGUGAUGUUCAGAUUUUCCCCUCCUGCUGACGCUUGGGGAGUUUGCCCGGGUUCACCUUCGGGUUCAGUCUCAGGUCCUGUGGGAGUCCUUUUGUUUUUAUUGGCCUUAGGUGGUCGACCCACUGGCCUUUUAGUUUUUGAGUUGCCAGGCUGUUGCCCUGGCGCCUCCUGAGAAUUUGCUCCUCCUCCCUGGGAAGUGCUUCGAGUUACCACCAUCCUGGAGUGUUCGAC